UCCGGCUUAUCACCGGCAGUCCCUCUAGAGUGCCCAACUUAAUGAUGGCAACUAAAGGCGAGGGUUGCGCUCGUUGCGGGACUUAACCCAACAUCUCACGACACGAGCUGACGACAGCCAUGCAGCACCUGUGCACGUGUCCCGAAGGAGGCCCUGGCUUUCACCAGGGUUUCACGUGCAUGUCAAGUCCAGGUAAGGUUCUUCGCGUUGCAUCGAAUUAAUCCGCAUGCUCCGCUGCUUGUGCGGGCCCCCGUCAAUUCUUUUGAGUUUUAGCCUUGCGGCCGUACUCCCCAGGCGGAACACUUAACGCGUUGGCUGCGGCACAGGAGGAUUCGACUCCCCCCACACCUAGUGUUCAUCGUUUACGGCUAGGACUAC
rnacentral:misc_RNA from 1 species